AAAAAUAAAGUGCAUGCCGAGGAACGGUUUGCCUCGAAAAAAAACCGUAAAAAAAAUAGUUGCAAAUAAUAAACAACACUACGCUUUAGCAGCUUAAAAAACUGAAUAAAGCCCUUUCUUCUCAGCCUUAUCUCUUAGGAAGAGAACCUAGAAAGGUCAAAUAAAGAGAAAACGUGAAUACUAAGCUUGUAUCAGUAUAAACGAAAAAAAUUUUCAAGCUAUAAAUCUAAUACGUGUUUUUCCAAAUUAGAUAAAGAAAUUCUUUAGAAAAACUAAGCAUGUAGUACUCUAUUCUAAGAAAUUUUGGACGCGGGUUCAAAUCCCGCCAGCUCCAA
rnacentral:tmRNA from 1 species